AGCGCCGCCAAGGGGUGUUUGCAGCGAGUUCACUUUAACUCUAGUGACUGCAAACUGAGAUGUCAUCAGACGAACCCUUAGAACCUGAUCCGGCUAAUACCGGCGUAGGAAUGGGCCAAUCAACAGCA
rnacentral:ncRNA from 2 species